AAAAAGACAAAACCUAGAUUUCCGUGUCCAACGUUUGACUGUCCGUCUUAUAUGAAAUUUUUUUAUAAUUAGUAUUUUCAUUGUUGUUAGAUGAUAAACAUGAUUAAUACUUUAUGCGUGACUUGUCUUUUUAAUUUUUUUCAUAUUUUUUUUUAAAUAAGACGGACGGUCAAACGUUGGACACGGAAACUCAAAGUUUGUCCUUUU
rfam:Oryza rufipogon genomic scaffold, chr05